rnacentral:tRNA from 1 species
GGGGCUGUGGCUCAGUGGUAGAGCGCUUGCCUCGCAGGUGGGAGCUCCUGGGUUUGAUCCUCAGCACCA